GUGCCAGCCGCCGCGGUACUACGUAGGGGGCGAGCGUUGUCCGGAUUCAUUGGGUGUAAAGCGCUUUAAGGCGGUUCGCUAAGUCGGGUGUGAAACCUCCAGGCUCAACCUGGAGACGCCACUCGAUACUGGCGUGACUAGAGUCCGGUAGGGGACCACGGAAUUCCUGGUGUAGCGGUGAAAUGCACAGAUAUCAGGAGGAACACCAGUGGCGAAGGCGGUGGUCUGGGCCGGAACUGACGCUGUAGAGCGAAAGCGUGGGGAGCGAACAGGAUUAGAUACCCUGGUAGUCCACGCCGUAAACGUUGGGCACUAGGUGUGGGGGGUUAUCAACGCCUUCCGUGCCGUAGCUAACGCAUUAAGUGCCCCGCCUGGGGAGUACGGCCGCAAGGCUAAA
rnacentral:rRNA from 1 species